CGACCAUACAAAAUACUCUGCCA
rnacentral:siRNA from 1 species